CCUACGGGUGGCAGCAGUGAGGAAUAUUGGUCAAUGGACGAGAGUCUGAACCAGCCAAGUAGCGUGAAGGAUGACUGCCCUAUGGGUUGUAAACUUCUUUUAUAUGGGAAUAAAACAGGGUAUGCAUACCCUCUUGUAUGUACUAUAUGAAUAAGGAUCGGCUAACUCAGUGCCAGCAGCCGCGGUAAGACGGAGGAUCCGAGCGUUAUCCGUAUUUCUUGGGUUUAAAGGGAGCGUAGGUGGAUUGUUAAGUGAGUUGUGAAAGUUUGCGGCUAAACCGUAAAAUUGCAGUUGAAACUGGCAGUCGUGAGUACAGUAGAGGUGGGCGGAAUUCGUGGUGUAGCGGUGAAAUGCUUAGAUAUCACGAAGAACUCCGAUUGCGAAGGCAGCUCACUGGACUGCAACUGACACUGAUGCUCGAAAGUGUGGGUAUCAAACAGGAUUAGAUACCCUUGUAGUC
rnacentral:rRNA from 1 species